ensembl:lncRNA
UGUCUUUUAUCCUUAUACUAUACUGCUCUAAGAGUUAUACGUUAUAAUUUCAAUUUUCCAUAUGAUGAAAAUACAGACGCAUAGAAGUUUAGUGAUUUGCCCAGAUUUGCAUAUCUGAUUGGCAGCACAGGUCAGACUCAAAUAUGUGCCAUGACCCUGAAUCUCAUGAAUGAAACCAAACUGAGACCCUCCUCGUGGUCAAAAGUCAGAAGCCUGUAAAGGAGGGAGAUGGACUCUUCCAGAAGGUUUGUAAGACUCUUCUGAAGAUGACAUAAUAACUGCUGACAUGGACCAUGAAGCUGAGGGUGACACCCUGAGCUGCUUUCUUUUGGGUAUCCGAGAAAGCCUUCAUGGAGUGGAGCCACCACACUAGCCCAAGACAGCUACAGCUGUUCUUCUACAUGAGCAGAAAGAAAAACUUUUAUCGGGUUUAAGUCACUGUUAUUUUGGGUUUAUGUUAUUCACAGUUGAAUCUAAUCCUAACUGAUACAACCACUAUCCUGCAAAAACGGUGGCAAAAAAAUAUAUAUCACAUAUCCAUCACAUAAAUCCACUUUUAUAAGGAAAUGAAGUCAAAUUAUUACCCCCAAUAAAAAGGUGUUUCGCAACAUGACCCAGGAAUUUAGAAGGACCAUUUGUUCACUAUUUCUCCCUGUCUCACAGCUCUCGUGGCCUCAGCGGAUAAGUAUAUGAGAGCACAGUUUUCCUGGUGUCAGAAUAUGAAGAUCCAGGGAACAAAGAACCUCAAAGAACACCUGGAUUGUCAAGGUUUGGCCGGCAGUGCACUUUCUCCAACCUUACAGUCACACGCAAGACAUUCCUUCUCCCUUUGAAGAAAUCCACAAAAGAAAAAGCAAAAUACUGACAAGUUUUCAAAGCCAUGAUUUACAGGAAUGAAUUCUGAAAAGCAAGUGGCUAACAUCCGAGUUCAUCAUCAAAUAAUAUUUCUAAAGCACCCUCUAGUGUCUGGCCCCAAGCCAGAUGAUUCAACGCCUGGAGAAGCUACAGACUUUUUCAAAGUAAAAUAGACUCACGUCUGCUCUUGAGAAGCAAGUCGGCAUCAUUUAGGAUGCCUUAGGAAUGUCUCUCUAAAUAAGGAUUAAAAAUGGAUUGCUGUAGAAAAAUUAAUACAGGUACAAACACUAAUAAUAUUGAGUGCAAUUUAAAUUCCAUUUUAAAAUAGAUAAUAGGGUUUAAAAUAACAUGUCGAAAAUUGUACUGGAAUUAGCAAAAUUUAAAAUCUUAGGAAGAAGAAUCCUGAUUUGUGUGUGAAAAGGUUUUGAACUGAGGAAAAUUAAGACUAGCAAGAGUAGAUAGGGGUUGUCUAGUAGGAAUCAUAGACCCAUCAGCCAUCUGAUUAUGCUGUGACUGAUACUAGCCUGUAGUUUUCACCCAGUAAAUUAUCAAGUGGUACAGUAGAAAGAGCAUGGUAUGUAGAAUCAUAAGACUCAUAGUUUGGGGUCAACUCUACUAGUCACUUGGCCAUGUGGUUUGGAACACAUCACAAAAGAUUUAUGAGCCUUUGCUUCUUCACAUGUAAAAUUGUGAUGAUUUUGCCAACUUCAUAGAAUUGUUUAGACUUUAGAGUAUUACAUAGGAUACAACGGACUAGUUCCUUGAACAAAGUACUUGUCCCCAAAAUGUUACUAUUUUUUCUAGUUGUGUGAUUGAUUUUGCAAUCAGCAAUUUAAUAUUAUUCAUUCAAUACGUUUAUAAUAUGCAUUCAAUGUGACUCGCAUAUAUUUCAUAAAAACAAAUUUGAAUAUUUUUCUCAUUUUGUCAUUCACAUAUCUUUGAGAAUGGCAUCAUAGUUUUAUUUUGAUAAUGAAGUAAUACAGUCAAUUCCUGAAUAGGCUAGUUGACUUUAAUGAGAAAUACCCAUUUAUUCAUUCAUUCAUUCAUUUCAUUUUCAACUUUUAAAUUAAAUCCAUAAUGGCCCCUUCACUAUGGGGUUCUUAUAUUAAUAAGAUGGACCAGAUACUUUUAUCACCUACAAAAAAAAUCUUUGUAGGCGGAGCAAUAAAGAGUACUGAAUCAUUUUAAGAAGUCAC